UCCGAGUUGACCCCGGCAGUCUCCUAUGAGUCCCCGGCAUUAUCCGCUGGCAACAUAGGACGAGGGUUGCGCUCGUUGCGGGACUUAACCCAACAUCUCACGACACGUGCUGACGACAGCCAUGCAGCACCUGUCUCCAGGUUCCCUUUCGGGCACCGCUCCAUUUCUGGAGCGUUCCUGGCAUGUCAAGGGUAGGUAAGGUUUUUCGCGUUGCAUCGAAUUAAACCACAUCAUCCACCGCUUGUGCGGGCCCCCGUCAAUUCCUUUGAGUUUUAAUCUUGCGACCGUACUCCCCAGGCGGAAUGCUUAAAGCGUUAGCUGCGCCGCUGACAGGCAAGCCUGCCAACGGCUAGCAUUCAUCGUUUACGGCGUGGACUAC
rnacentral:misc_RNA from 1 species